rnacentral:rRNA from 1 species
AUGAAAACAGGAGAAACAUAUGCCAUUGAGUUUGUCAGUGAAACCGGCAAGCCCCUACAGCACACCUCAAAGUUUAUCAACCAAUGCGGAGUCGUUGUUAGAGACAACGUCCCGAUCACCGUCCAGGAAUGGAAGGAGCCAAAGAAGGCACGUAUUGGUUUCAGUUUUGUCGACAAGAGAACGAAAAAGGAUUGCUGGAGAAAGCUUAUGGAACAUUUCAUUCUACCUCCAAAAUACAACAAAGUCGAUGAAUUCGGUAACGAGGUUCCGGGUGGACGUCAGAGGAGGAGGCUAGUUAAAGAGUUCGCUCUUCAGAAGAUGGGCGAAGCAUUCCGGAACUUCAAGAAAAAUUUAACCCGUGACUAUGUCAACAAGGGCAAGACUCCGGAUUUCAAUGGACAACAUGAGAAACUGAAAGAUGAUUGGCCAGAAUUUGUGAGGCAAAAGCAAUCAGAGCAUUUCAAGGAAAUAUCGAAAAAAAAUAAGGAUAAUGCGAGUAAGAAAAAGUUCCAUCAUAUUAUGGGGCCAGGAGGAUACCGCCUUUCGGAGCCUAGGUGGCAGAAGAUGGAGGAGGACCUGAGGGUGCGAGGAAUCCCUCUAGGUACAGAGGGAUGGGACCCAAGGGCCAAAAGCUGGUGGUACGGGCAUGGGGGAUCGCUAGACCCGGAGACAGGGGUGUGUGUUCACCGGCAGAGACAGUUUGCUCCCACCCAAGCCCUUAUUGACGCAAUGACCCAAGCUCAAGAGGGCUUGAUCAAGUUCAAUAGAGAGAAAGACGCACUGACAACAGCCCUCGGGAAUGAUGAACACGGAGGACGUGUACAAGGCAAAGGCAAAGUUCCGUGGAAAGUAGGGUUUUCCCAGGACAAUGACCCGUACUGUUACAGAAGCCGUAAGAGAAAGACGGACCGGGAUGCAGAUCUUAUGACGAAGUUUGCAUCGGAACUCCAUGAGUUGAAAUAG